UACGUAAGGGGCGAGCGUUGUUCGGAAUUAUUGGGUGUAAAGGGCGCGUAGGCGGUUUAGCAAGUCUGGUGUGUAAGGCUACAGCUUAACUGUAGUUAGGCACUGGAAACGGCUGAGCUGGAGUGCAGGAGAGGGAGCUGGAAUUCCAGGUGUAGGGGUGAAAUCUGUAGAGAUCUGGAAGAACACCGGUGGCGAAGGCGAGCUUCUGGCCUGCAACUGACGCUGAGGCGCGAAAGCGUGGGGAGCGAACAGGAUUAGAUACCCUGGUAGUCCACGCUGUAAACGAUGUACACUAGGUGUUGGUCCAAGAGGAUCGGUGCCGGAGCAAACGCGUUAAGUGUACCACCUGGGGAGUAUGCCGGCAACGGUGAA
rnacentral:rRNA from 1 species